rnacentral:rRNA from 1 species
CUAGCUUACGUGGAGGCGCUGGUGGGAUACUACCCUAGCUGUGUUGGCUUUCUAACCCGCACCACUUAUCGUGGUGGGAGACAGUGUCAGGCGGGCAGUUUGACUGGGGCGGUCGCCUCCUAAAAGGUAACGGAGGCGCUCAAAGGUUCCCUCAGAAUGGUUGGAAAUCAUUCAUAGAGUGUAAAGGCAUAAGGGAGCUUGACUGCGAGACCUACAA